rnacentral:rRNA from 1 species
ACGGAAGGCAGCAGUGAGGAAUAUUGGUCAAUGGACGCAAGUCUGAACCAGCCAUGCCGCGUGCAGGAAUAAGGCCCUAUGGGUCGUAAACUGCUUUUGUGGUGGAGCAAUAAGUCGUACGUGUACGGCGAUGAGAGUACAUCACGAAUAAGCAUCGGCUAACUCCGUGCCAGCAGCCGCGGUAAUACGGAGGAUGCAAGCGUUAUCCGGAUUUAUUGGGUUUAAAGGGUGCGUAGGCUGUGGUCCAAGUCAGGGGUGAAAGCCCGGAGCUCAACUCCGGAACUGCCUUUGAUACUGGAUUGCUGGAAUACGGAUGCCGUGGGAGGAAUGAGUAGUGUAGCGGUGAAAUGCAUAGAUAUUACUCAGAACACCGAUUGCGAAGGCAUCUCACGAAUCCGUCAUUGACGCUGAGGCACGAAAGCGCGGGGAUCAAACAGGAUUAGAUACCCUGGUA